UCUCACAGACUACCAGGAUUUUCCCAAGAAGGUGGAAUUAUCUUUAGAGGAGGGGGUGUCAGCUGAGAGACCUUUUCAAAGAUUAAACAACAGGAAAGGGUAUAUAGGCAUACUGUUGGAGCUGGGAACAGAUGCUGACCGCAACGGCCGAGGGGAAAGUGAUAGAAGAAGAGCCUCUUGGAGCAGGAGAGCAACAUCAGAGUGGAAAUCCAAACACAUUUCACUGCCUACCCAGAAGAAGGUAAAAAGAAAAGGAGUCAAGGGGAUGCAGAAGGUGACGGGAGGUCAGAGUGGAAAUCCAAGAGGCAGACGAUACAAUGGAGAGUUCCUCCAGCCGACCUUAAAGCACUAGAGCAGGCGGGAUGCCAAGAUAACACUGGCAGAAAAGCCCAGGAAAAAUAUCAUUUUCUCCAUGAGACACAGACUCUUUCUUGAAAAAAAUAGAGCAACCAACUCCUUUCUGCUCAGAAUGAGAAUAGAGUCAAUUAGCAACUUCAGAUGAUCUAUUUGGUGAGCUUUCCAUGGAAGAUUCUUUUAGGUUUCCACUAAUUCUGAACUUUCUUCUCUGCUGAGUUCUCCUUUCCUUUGGUCCCCACAGGACACAGCUCGAGGUCCAGUCAUGUCUCUCUCUACCAA